GGCGCCGAAAUUGACGGCGAAGAUCUUCUGAUUCGUCAAGUCGUCUCCGGUGCCGAUGAUCGUCUCCUAACCGCCGAGCAACACUUCCAGAACUUCAAACUCAAGUUCGGAAAGACCUACGCCACGGAAGAGGAGCACGAUUACAGAUUCCGUGUCUUCAAGGCUAACCUCCUCAAAGCCAAGCGCCACCAGAAGCUCGAUCCCGACGCUGUCCAUGGCGUCACUCGGUUUUCCGAUCUUACCGAGUCCGAGUUCCGUACAAAUUUCGUCGGAUUGAAUCGGCUUCGUCUUCCUGCUGAUGCUCAGAAGGCUCCGAUCCUUCCUACCGACGACCUAGCCCCCGAUUUCGAUUGGCGCGACCAAGGUGCCGUCACACCGGUCAAAGAUCAGGGUUCCUGUGGCUCGUGUUGGUCUUUUAGUGCCGUUGGAGCGCUGGAGGGAGCUAAUUUCUUGUCAACUGGAAAGCUUGUUAGUCUGAGUGAGCAACAGCUUGUGGAUUGUGAUCAUGAGUGUGAUCCUGAGGAAGCUGGUGCAUGCGACGCAGGGUGCGGCGGGGGGCUAAUGAACUCAGCUUUUGAGUACAUUUUGAAAGCAGGUGGAUUAGAGAAAGAGGAGGACUAUCCUUACACCGGCACCGAUCGUGGCCCUUGCAAAUUCCAAAAUAGCAAAAUUGCUGCUUCCGUAACCAACUUCAGUGUCAUUUCUAAUGAUGCCGAACAAAUUGCAGCAAACUUGGUCAAGAAUGGCCCUCUAGCAAUUGGAAUCAAUGCAG
rnacentral:misc_RNA from 1 species